UCCUACGGGGGGCAGCAGUGAGGAAUAUUGGUCAAUGGGCGGAAGCCUGAACCAGCCAAGUCGCGUGAGGGAAUAAGGCCCUACGGGUUGUAAACCUCUUUUGCCGGGGAGCAAGGGCGGGGACGUGUCCCGGCCCGGAGAGUACCCGGAGAAAAAGCAUCGGCUAACUCCGUGCCAGCAGCCGCGGUAAUACGGAGGAUGCGAGCGUUAUCCGGAUUUAUUGGGUUUAAAGGGUGCGUAGGCGGGCUUUUAAGUCAGCGGUAAAAAUUCGGGGCUCACCCCCGUCCGGCCGUUGAACCUGGGGG
rnacentral:rRNA from 1 species